ACGAACGCUGGCGGCGUGCUUAACACAUGCAAGUCGAACGGUGAAGCGCCUUCCUUUUUGGUGGGUGUGGAUGAGUGGCGACCGGGUGAGUAACACGUGAGUAACCUGCCCCCUUCUUCUGGAUAACCGCAUGAAAGUGUGGCUAAUACGGGAUAUUCUGGGUCUGUCGCAUGAUGGGUCUGGGAAAGAUAUUGUUUCGGUGGGGGAUGGGCUCGCGGCCUAUCAGCUUGUUGGUGGGGUGAUGGCCUACCAAGGCGGUGACGGGUAGCCGGCCUUAGAGGGUGGACGGUCACACUGGGACUGAGACACGGCCCAGACUCCUACGGGAGGCAGCAGUGGGGAAUAUUGCACAAUGGGCGCAAGCCUGAUGCAGCGACGCCGCGUGAGGGAUGGAGGCCUUCGGGUUGUGAACCUCUUUCGCCAGUGAAGCAGGCCUGCCUCGUUUGUGGGUGGGUUGACGGUAGCUGGAUAAGAAGCGCCGGCUAACUACGUG
rnacentral:rRNA from 1 species